rnacentral:tRNA from 1 species
GUCUUAAUAGUUUAAUUAAAACCCUGGUCUUGUAAACCAGAAUUGACGUCAGUCUUAAGACU